rnacentral:rRNA from 1 species
AGCACCGGCUAACUCCGUGCCAGCAGCCGCGGUAAUACGGAGGGUGCGAGCGUUAAUCGGAAUUACUGGGCGUAAAGCGCAUGCAGGUGGUUUGUUAAGUCAGAUGUGAAAGCCCGGGGCUCAACCUCGGAAUUGCAUUUGAAACUGGCAGACUAGAGUACUGUAGAGGGGGGUAGAAUUUCAGGUGUAGCGGUGAAAUGCGUAGAGAUCUGAAGGAAUACCGGUGGCGAAGGCGGCCCCCUGGACAGAUACUGACACUCAGAUGCGAAAGCGUGGGGAGCAAACAGGAUUAGAUACCCUGGUAGUCCACGCCGUAAACGAUGUCUACUUGGAGGUUGUGGCCUUGAGCCGUGGCUUUCGGAGCUAACGCGUUAAGUAGACCGCCUGGGGAGUACGGUCGCAAGAUUAAAACUCAAAUGAAUUGACGGGGGCCCGCACAAGCGGUGGAGCAUGUGGUUUAAUUCGAUGCAACGCGAAGAACCUUAC